UGUCCUGUGGCUCAGCUGGUAGGGCAUUGCGCUAGCAACGCAAAAGUCGUGGGUUCAAGUCCCAGGGAAAG